rnacentral:tRNA from 1 species
GGCCCUUUAACUCAGUGGUUAGAGCAGGCGACUCAUAAUCGUCCGGUCGCUGGUUCAAGUCCAGCAAGGGCCACCA